rnacentral:rRNA from 1 species
UACAGAGGGGGCAAGCGUUGUUCGGACUUACUGGGCGUAAAGGGCGCGUAGGCGGCUUAACAAGUCACUUGUGAAAUCUCCGGGCUUAACUCGGAACGGCCAAGUGAAACUGUCAAGCUAGAGUGCAGAAGGGGCAAUCGGAAUUCUUGGUGUAGCGGUGAAAUGCGUAGAUAUCAAGAGGAACACCUGAGGUGAAGACGGGUUGCUGGGCUGACACUGACGCUGAGGCACGAAAGCGUGGGGAGCAAACAGG